GAGGGUAUAGCUCAGUGGCAGAGUGCAUGCUUGUCAUGUAUCAGGUCCUAGGUUCAAUCCCCAGUACCUCUA
rnacentral:tRNA from 1 species